rnacentral:rRNA from 1 species
CGUAGGGAGCGAGCGUUGUCCGAAGUUACUGGGCGUAAAGCGCGCGUAGGCGGGCUGUUAAGUGAGAGGUGAAAGGCUGGGGCUCAACCCCAUGCAGUGCCUCUCAUACUGGCGGUCUGGAGUGCGGCAGGGAGAAGUGGAAUGGCUGGUGUAACGGUGAAAUGCGUAGAUAUCAGUCGGAACACCGGUGGCGAAGGCGGCUUCUUGGGCCUGGACUGACGCUGAGGCGCGAAAGCUGGGGGAGCGAACGGGAUUAGAUACCCCGGUAGUCCCAGCCGUAAACGAUGGAUACUAGGUGUCGGGGGUAUCGACCCCUCCGGUGCCGCAGCUAACGCAUUAAGUAUCCCGCCUGGGGAGUACGGCCGCAAGGUUG